rnacentral:rRNA from 1 species
GACGAACUGUCCUAACGUUGUUCGGAAUCACUGGGCUUAAAGGGCGCGUAGGCGGCCGAGCGGGUCACGGGUGAAAUCCUCCAGCUUAACUGGAGAACUGCCCUUGAUACCACUGCGGCUCGAGGAAGGAAGGGGUCAUGGGAACUGUCGGUGGAGCGGUGAAAUGCGUUGAUAUCGACAGGAACGCCGGUGGCGAAAGCGCAUGACUGGUCCUUUUCUGACGCUGAGGCGCGAAAGCCAGGGGAGCAAACGGG